rnacentral:rRNA from 1 species
UUUGGAGGGCAAGUCUGGUGCCAGCAGCCGCGGUAAUUCCAGCUCCAAUAGCGUAUAUUAAAGUUGCUGCAGUUAAAAAGCUCGUAGUUGAAUUUCGGGAUCAAUAUUUCGGUCAUGCCGUUGGUAUGCACUGUUAUCAUUGAUUUCUCACCUUCUAAAGAACCGUAAUGCCAUUAAUUUGGUGUUACGGGGAAUUAGGACUGUUACCUUGAAAAAAUUAGAGUGUUUAAAGCAGGCUCACGCUUGAAUACAUUAGCAUGGAAUAAUGAAAUAGGACAUCCGAUUCUAUUCUGUUGGUUUCUAGGAUCGAUGUAAUGAUUAAUAGGGAUAGUUGGGGGCAUUAGUAUUCAAUUGUCAGAGGGGAAAUUCUUGGAUUUAUUGAAGACUAACUACUGCGAAAGCAUUUGCCAAGGAUGUUUUCAUUAAUCAAGAACGAAAGUUAGGGGAUCGAAGACGAUCAGAUACCGUCGUAGUCUUAACCAUAAACUAUGCCGACUAGGGAUCGGAUGAUGUUAAUUUUUUAAUGACUCAUUCGGCGCCUUACGGGAAAC